GACGAACGCUGGCGGCGUGCUUAACACAUGCAAGUCGAACGGAAAGGCCCUGCUUUUGCGGGGUGCUCGAGUGGCGAACGGGUGUGUAACACGUGAGUAUCCUGCCCUUGACUUUGGGAUAACUUCAGGAAACUGGGGAUAAUACCGGAUAGGAGCUCCUGCUGCAUGGUGGGGGUUGGACAGCUUCGGCGGUUGGGGAUGGACUCGCGGGUUAUGAGCUUGUUGGUGGGGUAGUGGCUUACCAAGGCUUCGAUGGGUAGUCGGCCUUUGAGGGUGACCGGCCACAUGGGGACUGAGAGACGGCCCAGACUCCUACGGUAGGCAGCGGUGGGGAAUAUUACACAGUGGGCGGGAGCCUGAUGCAGCAGCGCCGCGUGCGGGAUGACGGCCUUCGGGGUAUAAACCGCUUUCGCCUGUGACGAAGCGGUAGUGACGGUAAUGGGUAAAGAAGCACCGGCUAACUACGUG
rnacentral:rRNA from 1 species